CAGGUUGAGAGAAUUGGAGAUUGCUCUGUAGCAGCUGAAGCCGGGCCCUAGAGUCUAGUCCUCUCUGUCUGCUCCAACGUUGCAGGCGCCACUGUUCAAACUAUUGAAACAGAAGACAGGGAACAUGUUCAGCAGCCAGCUGAAGGAGAUGGAGAAAGGCGAGAAGCCAAUGCCUUGGACCAAGGAGGCAGUUUGGUGGAUGAGGACAAUGACAAUAGCACUGGUUAUGAUAAUUUUGAAAGCCAGAUGCAGCUUGACAAUGCUCGCCUCCAAUCUCCUCCAUCUGCAUCUUGCUCCAUACCAGCAACCAAUAAUCUCCUGACUGCAACGCGCAAACCUCUAUAUGGAUGGAUUGGCAGUGACGAAGAGGAAGAUUUCAUAGAAUUAACCCCGGCUCUAAGGAAAGUAUCAUUCAAGUCGGCAGGAAGGGUGGUUGUUAACGGGAGCCGAACUGGGAGUGACAAGCAGCAGCUCAAGAGCAAAUCAAGGUGGGAUGUGAGGCCUAAAGAUACGUAACCUUCCUUUUUGACUCUCCUCUCUAGUGUAUGCGUCAGCUGGAUAAAGGGAACCCUUGCAUUUGUGGAUUACAGGUUUCUAUUUUGAGGGGGGUAGUAGGAAAUAUGUCGUUCCCAUUUACAAGGAAAUUGAUAACAUUGUAAGCUCCCCUGCCCUAGGUAAAGAAGUUAAAAAGGUUUUAUUAGCGUUCCGUGGGGGGCUGUUGCAUCAGUCAUGGUCUAGUGUCCAUGCUAACUCGCUUUUAGGCAAUUCUAAAAGCACAGGUGACCUUGUUUGUAGGGCAGUGAUAUUUGAUUUUACAAAGUAGUUUGAAGUGGUAAUUCUAUUACUAUGUCCUUAAAACAUUAA